rnacentral:misc_RNA from 1 species
UAAGCUCCUUAAGUGCAUUCUCCUCUCUUAAUCUCUUCUUCACCAUUCUCCGCUCAAGCUCAAGGAUUCUCUAUCCAGGUACUCUCUCUUCUUCUCCUCCUCCUUUUGCUUUCUCCUCUGUCGACCGUUGUUGUUUCUCCUCCUCCUUCUCUUGUCGGCCGGUUCAACUAUUACAACCGGUGCAUAACGGGCUUUACACACCAUUCUGAUUCUCUUUCGGCGUGAGAGACGACGUAGAGCUUGCUGGAAGAUUGGUGCUGUGUUGGGUUUUUUUCGUGGAGCUUCUCCACGAUUUAGAUAGUUUCCAGCCUAAGGUUACUAGAUAUUGGUACUAGUUGGAUUUGAUGGAUUCUGAUUUGGACCCUUUUGACGGUAUAUUUUCGGAACCUGAUUUUGCCCAUGGUAAGUGAUUCCUGGAAAUCAUCGUAUUGUUGCUCUAUUUUUGGCUUACAUUUGCUGAAAGGUGUGGGUUUACUUGACAUUAAAUUUUUUAGCGGCUAGGGCUGGUGGGAAGUUUCAACCAAGGGCCAAGCCACGAGCAAGGAAGGUGACAUCCACAUCACUUCCUUCUAUGCCUUCAAGCAUUACCGAGGAAAGUUCUGUUUCAUCGUUCCCAACUACAUUGGACACAAUAAAACCUGCUGUGUCUGUUGAUCCUGUGGAUGAUAGAUUGACAAACCUAGUUGGUUCUUCUUUGGUUUCAUCGUCAAGAUCACUUGGGAGCAAAGAACACUUGGAAAACCAUGACAAUAACCUGACAUGUCAACCAGUGAACUCUUCAACCGAAACUGUUGAAAGAAGAGAGGAUCUAGCUUCUCCAGAUUGUCUGCCUUCAGAGGUUGUAGUGACUAAUGGCAACAAGAAUGGAGAUUCUAACUUCAUAACCGAGGCAGGUUCUUCUGGGCUUGAUUUGGACACUUUUGCUGGCAUUGUUCCUGAUACUACUCUAAGUGCAGAGGAAAACCCUCAAAUUACGAGGGAAACUAUUGCCUCAAUAACUUUGAAGCUUCCUGAUGCUUCAAAUUUUCAGUCCAUUGCAGUAUUCAACCCCUCAUCAAGAGAACAUGUGCCCAAAGAGGAUAUGAG